GUAUUGUAUAUAGUCGCAGUCGCCGCUACAGUCUUCUCUAAUAAAAGCCAGCUAUUAAUCCAUUAGAAAUUUUUUGCGACGUUACCGUCGUCGGCUUGCAAAAAAUGGGUUUUUGUUCACAAUUUUACAAAAAGUGCAAUGUUAUUCUACUAAAGCAAUUGCUUUUGUAACUAAAUCUCCGUUUUGACAUCACUUUUCAUCAUAAACUGAAAUAAUAAUAAAAACACCAUCGAAACGAAUACAAAAUCAAAACAAAACCAACAAAACUUAAAAACAACAACAAAACUGAGAAUUUAAUCAACUUUAGCUCAAAACCAAAAACUACCAAACCGGCGUUUUUAGGAAGAGGAACUAUUGAGGAAGUGGCAACUUUACUGCUCCAAUAUUACAAAAAAAAACUUUUUUUAUUUAAAAUUUGCAUAAAAAUAACAACUCCUACAAAAUUGUGAAAACUUAUAAUAAAUUAUAAAAAGCUGCUGGAAACAGUUUGCAACGGUUAAAAAAGCUUAAGCCAAGCUUAGCUUAUUGAGCCUCCCAAAAAAUAAGAAAAAACUUGAAGAAGAAAAAACACUUAGUGAAAUUAGCAAUAAAACUUCUAAAAAAAUAAAAUACUCAGAAUUUCUAAGAAAUUCAAAUUAGAAACAAAAACAAAAUAAAUAAAAAACUAACUAAAAAUUAUAAAAACACAUCUGUCCACAAAAAUACUAUUGUAAGUUAGCAAAACCAAUUAACAAAGAAGAUACAGCAAAGCUUGGCUCUUAUUAUUGUUAUAAUAACUUGCUAAAUUAAGAACUAUAACAAUAAGAUCGUCGUGGUCAACAUCCAUAUUCAACCAAUAAGGACUUUAUCUUUUGUAUUAACAACGGAGGAGUAUUAACAACGUUUUUAGUUAAAUCGCAAAAAUCAGCAAGCAAACAGCAGCAGAAGCAUUUCGUUAUCAAUAGAACGAUAAGAUACGUUACGAUACGAUAGUAGUAGUGAGAUCAAUUGGGAGAGAGAAACAAAACAUACGUUAAAGCCUUAAACUAUUGUGUAUAUCUGAAAAAUAAGUCAUACUUCAUCAUUUUUAAUUUUCCUGGAGCUCGAAUACAACAUAUACCUUUUAUCCCCUACAUAAUUCCUCAUUUUUAUUUUUAUUUUUUCGGAAAGCCCAUUCUCUACACAAGCUUUAAAUAUUUGUUUUAAUUUUUUUAACGCUUAUUUUUAAAAUACAUAUGUAUAUUUUUUUUAACACAACCACCACGCCCACAACAAACAUCUAACAAAAUACAACAACAAUAUAAAUCCUCAACAUUAUUACGGCAACAACAAAAAACUACCAACAACUGAAAAGAAAGUUUUAAAGUACAAAUAAAACGAAAAAUAUUAAAAUUAAUAAAUAAAUAAAUAAAAUAAAAAAAACGCAACAUUACAAAAAAAAAGAACUUAAAAAAAUACUGAAUUUAAUGAUUAAUUAAGAUUUUUAUAAUUGUACAAAGUAUUAAAAAUUAUAAUAAACUCAAAUAUAGAUACUAAAAGUAACUUAAGAAAAAUCCAAAAAAAAAAGAAACAAAAAAAAAUACUGAAAAAGAAUAUACUACAAAUUCGGAAAAGUGAAGAAAACUAUAAACUUCAAAGGAACUGUUUAUGCCUAAAAGGCAUAAAACGUGUCGUAUCUUUAAAUAAAAUCUCUAAAAAGCAACAAAAAACAACAACAAACGGAAACAAUAAUUAAAAAUAUUUCAU